AAGGUUGGCACGGAAAUCCAUCUGCUCGGCUGGGAUCUCCUUCAGGUCGUCUUCCGAGAGGGUCUUGGUACUCACCUUCUUCCCCAGGAGGUCCCGGAAGUCCAGCUGCUCCACCUCCUGCUGGCGGAUCGCCUCCUCAGUGUGCUGCCUCGUCUCCACACGCCUCUUCAGCACCCCUCGCACGUCCUCGCCGUCUUCCUCCUCUGGCCAACCCUGCCCUCUUGCUGGCCAGCCAGGCCUCAGGGUCCCAUAGCGGUCACUACCACCACCAUCAGCACCAACUCCUCCACCACAGAGGCCCUCACAGCUGGCAGGCUCCCUCCCCCUGCAACCAGUGAAGGGAGAAAGGAAAGUAGCAGGAGGAAAAGGGGCUGGCUCCUCCAACUCCCAGACUGUGUGGUUCUGCACAACAGUGAAGAAAAUAUUGAGGAACCGAAACAAGCUGAGGCAGGUAAGUCCCACCCCCUCCUCCACUCAGAUGCCGGAGGCCUGACACCAGUUAGGCUGGUGUACCUGCAGCAUUCUGCCCUGGGUUUGCCUUUGAUCCCACCCCUGCAGUCUAGCCACCAGGAAACAAAAAAUCUCCUCUCUGGGUUUUCUAAGCCUUACCUUUUGGUUCAGGGCAGAUCAGAACCCAGGAAACCCUGAACUCCAGAUAGGCAUCUGAAGGGAGAGGUGUCUCCACUCUGCCUCCAGCUCAGGUCCUCAGAACUACGCUUUGCCCUCACCUCACCUGACUGGUGCAGCACAUCCAGCCUCGUGCUCCUUGUUUUCUGGACAGUUUCCUUUUGUUGUGUUUGAUUUCCUUCUCUCAAGUAGUCAUUCAGUUUCCACAGUGAAUCCUGACUGGCACGCUAGAGUAUACACAGGCCUGAACACAUACUUGAAAGGUUGUGCCUCUCUUGCCUCCUGUUCCAGCUUCCUACCAUCCAAACUACACAAAUCAGCAAGUACCUCUUCCAAAUUUGUUUUUUUAGUGAACAGGGUCUCACUCUGUUGCCCAAGCUACAGUGCAGUGGUACAGUCAUAGCUCACUGCAGCCUCCUACUCCUGGGCUCAAGUGAUCCUCCCACCUCAGCCUCCCAAAUAGUUGGGACUACAGGUGCAUGCCACUACACCCAGCUAAUUAUUAAACUUUUUGUCGAGAUGGGAUCUCACUAUGUUGCCCAGGCUGGUCCUGAACUCCUGGGCUCAAGUGAUGCUCUUGACCCAAAGCGCUGGGA
rnacentral:lncRNA from 1 species